GGAAAUGGCUCCACUGCUUCUGUGUAAUGACUUUAAACUUUGGACAAAAUCUAAUGUAUUAUGAUAGUUGCUUUUGUUGGUGAAGAGAUUUCUAAUACGAGAGUUUUUGAUACUCUGAACCUCUAUUUGACAUGAGGAAACAGGUUUAUAUGUAUAUUGUGUGUUAGAAUUAUAAGUCAAAAUAUUAGUGGAUUUUGGAGAGAACUUUUUCUAAUUUAGUGUGAGAAAUAUUUCUUAAUAGAAUUAAGAAAUAUUUCUUAAUAGAAUUAAGAAUUAUUUCCUAUAUUAGAGUAGAACUCCUAUUUUAGUG
rnacentral:misc_RNA from 1 species